rnacentral:rRNA from 1 species
GUGGGGAAUAUUGGACAAUGGGCGAAAGCCUGAUCCAGCCAUGCCGCGUGUGUGAAGAAGGUCUUCGGAUUGUAAAGCACUUUAAGUUGGGAGGAAGGGCAGUAAGUUAAUACCUUGCUGUUUUGACGUUACCGACAGAAUAAGCACCGGCUAACUUCGUGCCAGCAGCCGCGGUCAUACGAAGGGUGCAAGCGUUAAUCGGAAUUACUGGUCGUAAAGCGCGCGUAGGUGGUUUUGUAAGUUGGAGGUGAAAUCCCCGGGCUCAACCUGGGAACUGCCUCCAAAACUGCAUGACUAGAGUACGGUAGAGGGUAGUGGAAUUUCCUGUGUAGCGGUGAAAUGCGUAGAUAUAGGAAGGAACACCAGUGGCGAAGGCGACUACCUGGACUGAUACUGACACUGAGGUGCGAAAGCGUGGGGAGCAAACAGGAUUAGAAACCCUGGUAGUCC